rnacentral:piRNA from 1 species
UAGGCAUGCCGUGCCUUUCAUUUGCGCCC